CGCGAACUUCAGUCUUCAAGUAUCGAGUUAGCACGAUUCUAAGCGAUAAAUACUGUACCUGAAUAUCUUGAUAGACACAUCAUUUGCUUUAGUUUCUUGUUAUAAAGCGAUCACCUAAAAUUCUUGCUUAGAUUUCACAAUUCGUACGAAACUUUCUCGGUAAUAGCAAUGAUAUGAGAUAUGUUGACCUAGCCUCACUCUCGAGUGUGAAC